UCACCCAAACAUCUUUUAUCUCUUUGUACCCAAAUAUCUUUUAUCUCUCUCUUUUUCGUUAUCUCUAUCUCUCUUAUUACUUUUUUUUUUCUUCCUCUCUUCUUCAUCUUUUUCCCUCACCUUGUACCAAUGAUAGUUAAUAGUGAUUUAUGAUGAAUUAAUUUGUUGCCGGAAUUUGAGAGAGACGACUCCUCAAUGAAUUUCAAUUUUCAUAUCUUAGAUUCGUAUCCAUCAGAUCUGUGAUUUGAAUUUCGGAAACCCAAUUUUCUCCUCCUUGAGAUCCUCAAGAAGCUUCCCAAAUCUCAGAGCAACGUCAUCUUACUCAUCUAAAUCUCCAUGGACGACAUACACGAAUGCUCUAAGUCUCGUCUUGUUUAAGUCUCACCCAAACAGAUCCGGCUUGGGGUAUCAUUUAUCAAUGAUAUAAGGAAAGAGGUUUUGUUGAAAUCAUGAAUCCUAGAUUAAAUCGACAAGAAGAAGAAGCUUCAUGAGAAGAAAAGUGGCUAAUUUGCCCUAUUUUGUCUGAAGAUUCGAUAGGGGUGAAAAUAUGUUUUUUGGAGAGUGAGAAAUAAAUUAGACGUGGAUUGAAAUUACCACGUGGUUAGAGUUUGGUGGAUGUGCAUAGAUGGUCGAUAAUUUGAAAUGAUUGUGUUGCAAAUUUCGAUAUAAAAUUAAAAACAAGACUGUCAUAUGUUCAAGAUUCUAUGGAUAGUUUAUAUUUUGUCCCUUAAAAAUAUUUUUGUGUCAAUGACUUCCCACA